GUGGCAGACUGGAAAAUCUCUGCAGGCAAAUGUGAUGUCAUGAAAGAAACCACACACUUACCUGUAGAGAUGCUGCGGUCUGACA
ensembl:miRNA